GAGUAACCUGCCCCUGACUUCGGGUUAAGACCGGGAAACUGGGUCUAAUACCGGAUACGACCUGUCCUCGCAUGAUUUGUGGGUGGAAAGUUUUUUCGGUUGGGGAUGGGCUCGCGGCCUAUCAGUUUGUUGGUGAGGUAAUGGCUCACCAAGACUACGACGGGUAGCCGGCCUGAGAGGGCGACCGGCCACACUGGGACUGAGACACGGCCCACACUCCCACGGGAGGCAGCAGUGGGGAAUAUUGCAUAAUGGGGGAAACCCUGAUGCAGCGACGCAGCGUGCGGGAUGACGGUCUUUGGGCCUUUUACCGCUUUCAGCAGGGAAUAAGCGAAAGUGACGGUACCUGCAAAAGAAGUACCGGCUAACUACGUGCCAGCAGCCGCGGUAAUACGUAGGGUACGAGCGUUGUCCUGAUUUAUUGGGCGUAAAGAGCUCGUAGGUGGUUGGUCCCGUCUUCUGUGGAAACGCUACGCUUAA
rnacentral:rRNA from 1 species